UACGAAGGGGGCUAGCGUUGUUCGGAAUUACUGGGCGUAAAGGGCGCGUAGGCGGUACUUCAAGUCAGGCGUGAAAGCCCCGGGCUCAACCUGGGAACCGCGCUUGAGACUGGAGAACUAGAGUUCGGGAGAGGAUGGUGGAAUUCCCAGUGUAGAGGUGAAAUUCGUAGAUAUUGGGAAGAACACCGAUGGCGAAGGCGGCCAUCUGGACCGACACUGACGCUGAGGCGCGAAAGCGUGGGGAGCAAACAGG
rnacentral:rRNA from 1 species